AUUGAACGCUGGCGGCAGGCCUAACACAUGCAAGUCGAGCGGAUGAGUGGAGCUUGCUCCAUGAUUCAGCGGCGGACGGGUGAGUAAUGCCUAGGAAUCUGCCUGGUAGUGGGGGACAACGUUUCGAAAGGAACGCUAAUACCUCAUACGUCCUACGGGAGAAAGAAGGGGACCUUCGGGCCUUGCGCUAUCAAAUGAGACUAGGUCGGAUUAGCUAGUUGGUGAGGUAAAGGCGCACCAAGGCGACGAUCCGUAACUGGUCUGAGAGGAUGAUCAGUCACACUGGAACUGAGACACGGUCCAGACUCCUACGGGAGGCAGCAGUGGGGAAUAUUGGACAAUGGGCGAAAGCCUGAUCCAGCCAUGCCGCGUGUGUGAAGAAGGUCUUCGGAUUGUAAAGCACUUUAAGUUGGGAAGAAGGGCAGUAAGUUAGUACCUUGCUGUUUUGACGUUACCGACAGAAUAAGCACCGGCUAACUUCGUGCCAGCCGCCGCCGUAACAC
rnacentral:rRNA from 1 species